rnacentral:rRNA from 1 species
AUUGAACGCUGGCGGCAGGCCUAACACAUGCAAGUCGAGCGGAUGACGGGAGCUUGCUCCUUGAUUCAGCGGCGGACGGGUGAGUAAUACCUAGGAAUCUGCCUGAUAGUGGGGGACAACGUUUCGAAAGGAACGCUAAUACCGCAUACGUCCUACGGGAGAAAGCAGGGGACCUUCGGGCCUUGCUCUAUCAGAUGAGCCUAGGUCGGAUUAGCUAGUUGGUGAGGUAAUGGCUCACCAAGGCGACGAUCCGUAACUGGUCUGAGAGGAUGAUCAGUCACACUGGAACUGAGACACGGUCCAGACUCCUACGGGAGACAGCAGUGGGGAAUAUUGGACAAUGGGCGAAAGCCUGAUCCAGCCAUGCCGCGUGUGUGAAGGAGGUCUUCGGAUUGUAAAGCACUUUAAGUUGGGAGGAAGGGCAGUAAGCUAAUACCUUGCUGUUUUGACGUUACCGACAGAAUAAGCACCGGCUAACCCUGUGCCAGCAGCCGCCGUAACAC